GGUUUUAAACGAUUUCGGAUAAAAAAUCCAAUCGAUUGGAAGCGCUCCAGGUCCGUUCAUAGUCUAGUCAAUCAGCGAUAACGGAUCUUAGCUUAAGGGCGGCGAACUUGUCGGCGCUGCUACACUUGGCCCGUUCGUUCCAAGGGCUCCCAAAUAGGUCUCAUCGCUACAGAAACCUAGAAAAUUAUGAAGAAGAAAAAACCAUCUCUCUCCAACGGGCAAGUAUUUAGCACCUCAACUGGCGUGUUCGAGCAGAUGUUGCGGCAACUGGGAGACCACUCAGUCGAAUUCCAACUUCCACACUGGCUUAAGCAGCAGAAGUCGUCAAUGCCUUACACCUUCAUCAAGCGCAAUAUCUAUCUCACCAAAAGAAUCAAACGCCGUG